rnacentral:rRNA from 1 species
UACGAAGGGGGCUAGCGUUGUUCGGAAUUACUGGGCGUAAAGGGCGCGUAGGCGGCUUGGUCAGUCCCGUGUGAAAUCCCUCGGCUCAACUGAGGAACUGCACGGGAAACUGCCUGGCUUGAGUUCGGGAGAGGGAAGCGGAAUUCCGGGUGUAGCGGUGAAAUGCGUAGAUAUCCGGAGGAACACCGGUGGCGAAGGCGGCUUCCUGGACCGACACUGACGC